GAGUUUGAUCCUGGCUCAGAACGAACGCUGGCGGCAGGCCUAAUACAUGCAAGUCGAGCGCGCCCUUCGGGGUGAGCGGCGGACGGCUGACUAACCCGUGGGAAUAUGCCCUUCUCUAACGAAUAUCCUCUGGAAACAGAGAGCUAUACCUUAUACACCCUUGGGGGGAAAGAUUUAUCAGACAAGGAUUAUCCCGCGUUAGAUUAUGUAGUUGGUGGGGUAAUGGCCUACCAAGCCUACGAUCUAUAGCUGGCUUGACAGGAUGAUCAGCCUCGCUGGGACUGAUACACGGCCCACACUCCUACCGGAGGCAGCAACACGGAAUCUUAUACUAUGGGAGCAACCCUGAUCUAACCAUGCCGCGUGUGUGAUGAACGCACUAGGGUCGUAAAGCACUUUCACCACAGAUGAUAAUGACGGUAUCUGGUAAAGAAACCCCAGAUAACUCUCGUGCCAGCAGCCGCUGUAAUACGGCAGGGGGUUAGCGUUGUUCGGAAUUACUGGGCGUAAAGCGCACGUAUGCGGAUUAUUAAAUUAUAGGUGAAAUCCCAUGGCUCAACCCUGGAACUGCCUUUAAUACUGCUAGUCAUGAGUUCUAGAGAGGUUAGUGGAAUUCCGAGUGUAUAAGUGAAAUUCACAUAUAUUCUGAGGAACACCAUUGACGAAGGCGGCUUACUGGCUCGAUACUGACGCUGAGGUGCGAAAGUGUGGAGAGCAAUCAGGAUUCGAUACCGUGGUAGUCCACACCGUAAACGAUGAAUGCCAGACGUCAGCAAGUAUACUUGUUGGUGUCACACAUAGACGGAUUAAGCAUUCGGCCUGGGGAGUACGGUCGCAAGAUUAAAACUCAAAGGAAUUGACGCGGGCCCGCACAAACGGUGGAGCAUGUGGUUUAAUUCGAAGCAACGCGCAGAACCUUACCAACCCUUGACAUCCUGUGGUAAUACCAGAGAUGGUACGUUCCCUUCGGGGACGCAGUGACAGGUGCUGCAUGGCUGUCGUCAGCUCGUGUCGUGAGAUGUUCGGUUAAGUCCGGCAACGAGCGCAACCCACAUCUUUAGUAGCCAGCAGGUUAAGCUGGGCACUCUAGAGAAACUGCCCGUGAUAAGCGGGAGGAAGGUGUGGAUGACGUCACAGUCCUCAUGGCCCUUACGGGUUGGGCUACACACGUGGUACAAUGGCAGUGACAAUGGGUUAAUCCCCAAAAGCUGUCUCAGUUCGGACAGGGGUGUGCAACUCUGACGCCCAUGAAGUCGGAAUCGCUAGUAAUCGCGUAACAUGCAUGAUGAGGUGAAUACGUUCCCGAGGCCUUGUACACACCGCCCGUCACACCAUGGGAGUUGGUUCUAACCGAGGACGCUGCGAAUAACCCUUCGGGGGGGCAGGCGGCCACGGUAGGAUCAGCGACUGGGGUGAAGUCGUAACAAGGUAACC
rnacentral:rRNA from 1 species